rnacentral:rRNA from 1 species
GAACCACGGGGGGCAGCAGUGGGGAAUAUUGCGCAAUGGGCGAAAGCCUGACGCAGCGACGCCGCGUGAGGGAUGAAGGUCUUCGGAUCGUAAACCUCUGUCAGCAGGGAAGAACGGUCACUGUGCUAAUCAGCAGUGAAUUGACGGUACCUGCAAAGGAAGCACCGGCUAACUCCGUGCCAGCAGCCGCGGUGAUACGGAGGGUGCGCGCGUUAAUCGGAAUUACUGGGCGUAAAGCGCCCGUAGGCGGCAUGUCAAGUCAAGGGUGGAAU